AUUGCGUCUCAUUUAUCACGCAAACCAAACUCAAAAUUGCGUCAAUAUAAGGACGCAUUCUCUUUUAUGUCACACAUGCGCAGUGGCCACUCUGCUGUCUGGAGCCCCCCUGACAUCUUUGUAGCCUAAUUUACUGAAAAAUAAGCCGUUAUUCAUGUUGCUCCACAUAACCGCGUAUUGCAACUUCAUAAUUAAAUCCCCACAACAAAAUACUGAGCUUAUGGGCUAUUUUAGUCACAUUUUAGUUCCUAGACAAAAGUCUGUUUUGCUAGGAUAUUAAUAAAAUAACAGAAACUGUUUUAUCCUAUACGAGAGCAUUUGUAGUAUUUGUCCAGAAGACUUUUGUGGCUGAAAACCAUUCAACCAGUAAGGUUUUUGAAAUAUUCAUUGUAAAUAACCCUGAUGUACCCCCACUGUUUAUGAUGAUGUCAUUUCAUCGCGACCUCCAUGCAUUGGAUUGUGGAUUUGAUUGUACUGCCUGCAGUCUGAUGUGGUUUGGCUGAGCUUUAUUCAUCAAUUGUUUUACGUCUCCAGUUUUCCCUGAGGUCCAAAAUAUUCAGUGGAGCGAAACUGUUGAUGGGUAAGUAGUAGUUUCAUUUAAUUCAUAUGCUGUGUUUUUUAACUGAAGUACAACACAAAUCUCAAUCCCUCUUUAUCAGAUCUCAUUCUAUCUGGUGACAUUAGGAUAUAAUUAUCAAUAUUAUAAAUGCAGUUUUUAGGCAUGUCCUUUGUAUGUUCACAAAACCAAUGAACGGAAGAGAGGGAAGACUAGGAGGGGCCUAGCAAAACCAAAGAGGCACAUUAAUACUGUAAAAAUGACAAUGACAGCAUAGACGAGCAUCAUCAUAUUGGCUGAGAGGACACUAUGAUACCUCUUCCUUACGAUGGUGAAUAGUAGAUGAGCUGGAUAAAAGAGGGGUUAGAGUUUAUGCAAAUAGUCUUCCCUUAAAAAUAUCUACCCCCUGCAACCUUGUAUGGAAAUGGUCUCAUCUUGAAAAUCACUUGUAUUGAUAUCAUUAAUACAAUUGCUGAGGGGGUUAGUAGACUUAAGUCAGUGAUGUGUAUUUCCAUUGCAUUGGUUAAUGUGCAGUCUGUUCAAAGUAAGAUUUAAUAUCUAUUGGUUGUGUUUCUGUCAGAAGUACAGUGCAUUACCAGGCGAAUACACCGGUGGCGACAAGAUCAAGCAACAGAGAAUCGCUGGACUGUGCAGCAAGAGUGAUAGAAGUAUGUCCGUUAAAAGCAGAAUGCAAGCAGUCCAACAUUCCAAUUGGCUGUGGCGACUGUUGCAAUACCACAUCAUAGCUAAUUUGAAUAAUAAGUAAAACUACAAACUGUCGCUCAAGUCGCGCGAAUUGCCUCUAGUUGCCUGAAUCACUUUUGUUGGGCGACUCAAUGCAAAGUCAAUUACUUCCGUCGCUGGAAUCGCUGAUGUAGUGCUUGGUCUAUUUGUGACGGAUAUGUUGUGGUAGGCUAUUCACCUUCUAUUCUUGCUAUGGUUCAUUCUUCUGUUUCAGCAGCAAAAUGUAACAAGUUUGUCCUGGAGGACUGUUCUGAUGGGGAAUGCUGUGGAGGAGAGACAGGCAGACUGUGGUCCAUCGUGUGUGCUCCCAGUGCGUUAAUACACGGACAGUCCUUUUUAAGUGCAACCAGAGGAAUAAUGUGAUUGAGAGGAAGAGUGGCCCCAUACAUUGCUUGACCUGGAGCCUACCAAAGUCUAAGGUCUCAGGUGUCUCCAGAAGAACACAUCCCAAUGAAGACCCCAUUCAUAGUCAUCAACUUGACAGCUCAGCCUGUUACUUGAACUGUGUUCUUAGAGCCAAGUGUAACUGAGGUGUUUCCACACAGUCUGUCCCCCUUAGAUCUUGAACUUGCCACCACCUAGUCAACGCAUCGGUUCGGGUAUGGGAGGCACAGCACGAUACCGCUGAGCUAAAUGACCAGUCCCAUAGCUCAGCGCUGCUGGUACUGUAUGAGGCUUCGGGAGGGAGGUUUACUAUCCUUCCACGCCACACUCUGCUAGUUGGCCUCCGUUACACAAGCUCGAAUAAUCCAAGCAGCCAAUCCAACUUCUUCAGCACUGCCUUUGAACACUAUGAAGAACCACUCAGAACCACUGGUCCUAGAACUAAAUGACCACAUUAUACUGUUAAAGGUCCACUGUGUAGGAUGGUGAUCAGAGCAGGUAUUGCACCUAUGCUGCUCAUUGCAACUGUGCUACCUAUUGUCCAUUUUGACUUUUGAAUUUUCAAGAAUUUUACCAAGUAUUUACUAGUAUGUACCAAUAUUUACUAGUAUGACCAAAAUGCAGUACAUUAUGCAACUAAAUUCAAGAUGGUGGACAAUGGACUCCUUUCAUGUUUUCAUGAAAAGUGAAAUUUUCCCAGUCAUAAUGAAUACUCAGAAUUUGAUGGUGGUAAGUAUUCUGAAAAAGGUUACAUUUGUGAAUGGCCUGAAUGAAUUCUGGAAAGAAACUGCUUAAAAAUAUUACACAGCGUACCUUUUAACAUUUCAUCUGUAGUAACAGAAUGUAGCGUUUCUCAGCUGCGACUCAAACCUAGACCCUCUUUCGUGGUGGUUGUUGUAAUGACACACUAAAAGCGAUAAUAUCUGCAUGAAGCUGCUCAGAAAGUGUCACUGGAUAUAUACCUUGAUAAAAGCAACAGAAUCUUCAAAGAAGAACAGAUACAAAAUGGGAUGCAUGCAUCAUGACAUUCCAACUGGUUGCAGUGAUAUUCACUGGUUGCAGUGAUAUUCAUGGAAAUGUCUAAUGCCUUUUCACCAUUAACUUCUUUUAUGUUCUGUUCUUGUCUCUUUGUUAUGAUUGAAUUAGGAGUUUUAAUUUACACAAAAGCUGACACAUUUCCCACCUUUCUGUUAAGACUUGGUCCUAAGUGUUCUGAUUUGUUUGCUGUUUUAUACCUUGUGAAUAUUGAUGAUUUUUUAAAUGAUUUUUAAUAAACUGUUUUGAUCAUUACAUUGCACGUCUUAGUUAUUUACAGGAUUUUGGUCACAGUCCCUGGAGAUGUGUGGGUUUAGGUGCGUUGCACAAGGGCACUUCAGCUGAGGAUGUCGGGCGAGGUAAAGCUGGGAUUCAAACAUGCAACCCUCUGAUCUUAAACUCAUUUCCUCAAGCAUUAGACCACGACUGAUCACCUUGUUUUACUGGUGAUUUCAUGUUUAAUGCAAUAAAUAAAACAUCUUAGCAUUGAUGA